AUGAACGCUGGCGGCGUGCCUAAUCCAUGCAAGUCGAGCGAACAGAUCAGGAGCUUGCUCCUUUGACGUUAGCGGCGGACGGGUGAGUAACACGUGGGUAACCUACCUAUAAGACUGGGAUAACUUCGGGAAACCGGAGCUAAUCCCGGAUAAUAUUUCGAACCGCAUGGUUCGAUAGUGAAAGAUGGUUUUGCUAUCACUUAUAGAUGGACCUGCGCCGUAUUAGCUAGUUGGUAAGGUAACGGCUUACCAAGGCGACGAUACGUAGCCUACCUGAGAGGCGGAUCGCCCACACUAGAACUUAGACACGGUCCAGACUCCUACGGGACGCAGCAGUAGGGAAUGUUCCGCAAUAGGCGAAAGCCUUACGGAGCAACGCCGCGUGAGUGAUGAAGGUCUUCGGAUCGGAAAACUCUGUUAUUAGGGAAGAACAGACGUGUAAGUAACUGUGCACGUCUUGACGGUACCGAAUCAGAAAGCCACGGCUAACUACGUG
rnacentral:rRNA from 1 species